AUUGAACGCUGGCGGCCGGCCUAACACAUGCAAGUCGAACGGUGAGGCGGACGGGUGAGUAAUGUCUGGGACACUGCCUGAUGGCGGGGGAUAACUCCUGGAAACGGUAGCUAAUACCGCAUACCUUCGGAUGUGCACAGAUGGGAUUCGCUAGUUGGUGGGGUAAAGGCCUACCAAGGCGACGAUCCGUAACUGGUCUGAGAGGAGGAGCAGGCACACUGGAACUGAGACACGGUCCAGACGACUACGGGAGGGAGCAGUGGGGAAUAUUGGAUAAUUGGCGAAAGCCUGAUCAAGCAAUGACGCGUGUGUGAAGAAGGUCUUCGGAUUGUAAAGCACUUUAAGUUGGGAGGCGUUACCAACAGAAUAAGCACCGGCUAACUUCGGGCCAGCAGCCGCGGUAAUAC
rnacentral:rRNA from 1 species